rnacentral:sRNA from 1 species
GCUCUCGAAAAGCGAAAAGCCUUUCGGAUGUCCGAAAGGCUUUUCGAGUUCAAUC